AGGUAAGCUACUAAGAGCGAAUGGUGGAUGCCUUGACUGGUAAAGGCGAUGAAGGACGUACUAGACUGCGAUAAGCUACGGGGAGCUGUCAAGAAGCUUUGAUCCGUAGAUUUCCGAAUGGGGCAACCCAAUGUAUAGAGAUAUACAUUACCUAUAUAGGAGCGAACGAGGGGAAUUGAAACAUCUUAGUACCCUCAGGAAAAGAAAUCAAUAGAGAUUGCGUCAGUAGCGGCGAGCGAAAGCGCAAGAGGGCAAACCCAGUGCUUGCACUGGGGGUUGUAGGACUGCAAUGUGCAAGAGGUGAGUUUAGCAGAACAUUCUGGAAAGUAUAGCCAUAGAGGGUGAUAGUCCCGUAUGCGAAAAACAAACCUUAGCUAGCAGUAUCCUGAGUAGGGCGGG
rnacentral:rRNA from 1 species